ACCCGAUUGAGAUGGUGAAUUAUUUGAAAUUUAUUUUGUUUAUUUUUAGACUUUAGAUAUUUUGUUGAUUAAGAAAUUGCUUGCUGGCUCAUCAUCUCAUAAAUGGACUAAAGAUGUUAUGUGUUUUCAGGAAAAACAAUAGGCAAGCAUUAACUUCAAAGACAACAUUGGACUAUGGAAGGAUAAAGAAAAGAAAAAAUAAUCUUUUUUGGAACUGCAAAUAAAGUGUGUGAAGACAUAAGAAUAACCCUGGAUGCCAACGAUGAUGGGAGUGAUUAAUUAUGAAACUGCUAAAAUAGUUGACACCCCUGAGAGUAGGAAACUGCUAUUGAAUCCCUACAAAGUACUGCACUCGUAGUAAUCAUACAGCAGAAGACUCACAAUUUGAAGACAUUAUGGUGAUUGAUGUGCUUGGUAGGCCUAAAUAGGAUCUGGGCAUCUGGCAACACCAAUCAAAAAAAAGUUGUUGUAAAAAGAAAGAAGGGUUGAUCCAGAAGCCCAAACCAAAAAAGAAGUCCAAAACUUUUGUGUUGCAAUCUGUUAUCUUUACCACAGAGUUCUCAGAAGUUGGUGGCAAGUGGCAACAAAAAGUUCCUCAUGGAACUGUUUAAGCUUAUUCUUGACAUGAACCAUACAGAAGUUUACCAACAGUUGGGCAUGUCACCACCGAGAGGAUUUCUUCUUCACGGUUCACCAUGCUGCGAUGCCGCUCCAGAGCUAGUAUGUGAUGAGUUUGGAGAGCCAAUCUGUUUCCUGUGUUAAAAAGCGACGUCUUACGAUUGCAUGUGUAAUAUUUUAGACGAAAUUUACGCCUUCAUGCCAAAGAGAGAAACUGCUCAACGAGAGACGGAACGAAGGAUUAUUGCCCUGAAAUAUUCCGGUAUUGGUUAUGGGUGCUACGAACAGACCAGACGCCUUAGAUCUGCCUCAAGAAGAGCUGGCUGCUGGCCGGUUCGACCGAGAAAUAAAACUUGGAAUACCAGACCUCGCCGCAAGUGAGAAGAUUCUCAAUGUCCAAGAACCUCAGUUUAGCUUUGGAUUGUUCUUUGCUUUGAACACAUCGGGAUACGUAGAGGCGAUCGGGAUACGCAGCUUGCCUUGGCAUCCAAGGCUGGCUGAUAGCUGUGAAUAGGGCUUUUGAACGGAUGAAGUCCAUAUAUUUGGGUACUUAAGGAAUAAUUUCGAAUUGGCAACACCUUGCCCAGUUCCAGUUUUGACAUUGCCGAGCCAGAGAGCAGAGACAUUGUUCUCCAGUACUGUUCGAAAUGUUUGUAGGCUGAUUGCUUCACGGUGUAAUUUCCACCGGCUGCUUCACAGAAUCUCCAAGUUUUCUUUAUUGAUCUUACGUUUCAACACCUGCCCUUGGACCUACACUGACGUUCGCCAGGAUUUGAUUGCAUACUCAUGCUGAUUGUAUUUGAUGCCAAGAAAGCUUUAAAGGUUAAAGGAAAGGCCCCCCUUCUGUGUAAGUA